UACCGUUGCCUGGUUGUAGCAUGGAGGACCACACUGCUCACUGCAUCUGAAAGAAAUAAUGGGUGGUCUGUGAGAGGGACGUCCCAUGUCUGACCUGGUAUCACUGAGGAAGACAUCGCUUGUCAUUUAAAUCUAUUUGGAGCUAUUCAAACUCUUAUGAAAAAGAAAAAAAAAUGUCUGGGAGCGGCGUGGUCCGUAUGCAGGCCUCUCCCCUGAUGUGGAUUCCAGGCUCAUUUGCCCGCUGCAGGCUUGUGCCUCGCCGCUGCUCUUUGCAUGACAAGGGACGCGUAUCACCAAAGGAAUUCAUCGCUCCCCUGGAAACAGAACACACAGCGGCCCAUCACAGGGACAUUCCUGGAUCAGCCUUCCCACCAUCGCAAAGAUUCGUUUCCAGGUAAACACACGGUGGCCUGGUCCCCAAACCUGCAGCCAGCGGCCGUUGUCACAGCUGUGGAGGAUAAUGGCCAGACCAAACUCCGGGCCUCGCUUCUGGAAUGUUUACUGUCACCACAGGCGCUUCGCCGCAAACAUUUUUCGUCACUUUUAUUUUUUUGGAGCAGCACGAGAGAAAGGGACUGGACUGGAGUUAUUAAUUUUAUUUUGACGAAUCACAAGCUUAACCUUUUGGCCUCUCAUUCGUCUGUCCGAGUAUAAAAGAAGGAGAAGUAACAACAGAAGGCUAAAAAAUGUCAAAUGAAGUGGUUGGUGUGCAGUAUUAAUGAGGGGAGGCUGGGGUUUACGUUUAAACUUAAAGUAACAGGUUCCUGCCAGCUUCCCUAAGUACUUUAGAAAGCGUCUUCCUGACUGGAUCAAGAGAAGAGCACACAGGCUCCGUAUUCUCUCUGGCUCUUUAGGUCUCAACUCACACUAAUGGCUACAAGUGCACAGCCAGGCUUGAGCACUGUAAAUAUUUUUAGACGUGUUACACAUAAGUCAACUUUGGUAAGUCAACUUUGUGUGGCAUAUUAUGGAGCUGGAAGUAUGUCUACAAGAUAAUGAACAUCCUAUUUGAAUUUGGAUCUACUUGGUAUUGUUUGUUUAUGCUUACCAAAAUAAAACUGCCCACAAAGAGAAGUCAUCGUGUGAACUGAUCGUUGGGACUGCAGAUGGAAAAUAGCUUAUAGCUAAAUCUGGUACAGUGUAUCUUUUCGCUUUUAAGUGAUUAAUAUGAUCUGUACAUGGUCCCUGUAAGAAAUAAACUUACUAAAAAAAAAAAAAAAUGUCAAAAUAUACAUUUAUUAAAGCAAAGGGUUCAUUUCAGGUUUUUAUCCAAUUCUAAAUGAUGACCUUCAGUACACUGCACAUUUAUAAUCAACUCAAGUGCCUUUAAUGAUUAACUAGAGGCAACAUAUUUUCAUAGGACGUGCGAUCCAGCAGGUAAUUUAGAGACAAAACACCAAAGCCAUUUUUGAAGUUGCAUUACAUAAUAAUAAACUAUGACAUGCCCUUUUGAUAAGGUGUUAAAACUAGACGAAUGGCAAUAAACCAUUUCAUAGAUACUGGCACCAUCCUUCUCCAUGGCACUAACAUUAGGCAUGACUCAUUGAAUGCGACCUUCACCUUCAUUUAUUAAUCAAAUGAAAGCCAGUUCGAGAAAACCAGACACUAAACAGCACAACAUCUUUCCAAGACUUUUUGUUCUCCCAAGAAGAGAUGAAAGUGUAGGCCUACAGUACUUUUCAGAAGGAGACAGCAUGGGACACAUUUCAUGUCAGUUCACACUGCCAGGCAGAAG